rnacentral:lncRNA from 1 species
UGGGAAAAUUAUAAGAAAAGUCUAAUGGUGUGUCAGGAUCAAUCAAAUAUCUACAAAAAAUAAUAAUUGAAUUGCCAGCAUUUGAUUAAGGUCCCUUGGAUUAAGUAGGCAGGCCACGAUGCAGGUCAAUGAAGCAAUUAUAACAAUAUAAUCUCGAAGUCUCUACAAACAACUGAAACGCCAAUUAGGAAAUGUCUGGAUUAGUUUAUUUGAGUUAUCUACUUGAGAUUAUAUAUGUGUAUAUAUGCAAGUUGUGUACCCAAAAAGAGGAUAAUUAAACGUCAAUAAUGUAGUUAUUUGGCGGAUAAGCACAAAUAGCAAAAAAAAAAAAAAAAAAGGCACAAAUAGCCUACUCUGAAUCCUUAUCGAUCAUGAUAGUUUUUUCGAUCACGAUAGUUUGACAAAAAAUUAGACGACAAUAGCUUUUCAAGCAUUGCAAUUUACGGUAUAUGGCAAUGCAUGCAAACACAUAUUUUUGAAUUAUAUGCAUUUUUGUUUGAAACACAUUUGAAUUAUA